CUGAGCGGCGUGCCUAAUACAUGCAAGUCGAACGCGAGAGGAGGGAGCUUGCUCCCUCUGAGGCGUUAGAAGGACGGGUGAGUAACACGUAGGCAACCUGCCCAUCACCUCCGGGAUAACCGCGGGAAACCGUGGCUAAUACCGGAUGAUCCUCUCCACCGCGGGGUGGGGAGUUGAAAGACGGUUUCGGCUGUCGCUGAUGGAUGGGCCUGCGGCGCAUUAGCUGGUUGGCGGGGUAAGGGCCCACCAAGGCAACGAUGCGUAGCCGACCUGAGAGGGUGAUCGGCCACACUGGGACUGAGACGCGGCCCAGACUCCUACGGGAGGCAGCAGUAGGGAAGCUUCCCCAAG
rnacentral:rRNA from 1 species